UUCCGAUGAUGAUAGAACACAUUACAUUUUAUUCUGGUACCUCUUAUGUUAGAGCCUUCGGGCUCAAUGAAUGAACAGGACUUCUGAUU
rnacentral:snoRNA from 1 species